GAUGAACGCUAGCGGGAGGCCUAACACAUGCAAGCCGAGCGGUAGAGAUUCUUCGGAAUCUUGAGAGCGGCGUACGGGUGCGGAACACGUGUGCAACCUGCCUUUAUCAGGGGGAUAGCCUUUCGAAAGGAAGAUUAAUACCCCAUAAUAUAUUUGAUGGCAUCAUUAGAUAUUGAAAGCUUUUGCGGAUAGAGAUGGGCACGCGCAAGAUUAGAUAGUUGGUGAGGUAACGGCUCACCAAGUCGAUGAUCUUUAGGGGGCCUGAGAGGGUGAUCCCCCACACUGGGACUGAGACACGGACCAGACUCCUACGGGAGGCAGCAGUGAGGAAUAUUGGACAAGGGGUUAGCGCCUGAUCCAGCCAUCCCGCGUGAAGGACGACGGCCCUAUGGGUGGUAAACUUCUUUUGGACAGGGAUAAACCUACUCUCGGGAGAGUAGCUGAAGGUACUGUACGAAUAAGCACCGGCUAACUCCGUG
rnacentral:rRNA from 1 species